rnacentral:rRNA from 1 species
UACGUAGGGGGCAAGCGUUGUCCGGAAUCAUUGGGCGUAAAGAGCGUGUAGGCGGCCAGAUAAGUCCGCUGUGAAAUCUCGAGGCUCAACUCUGAAACUGCACUCGAUACUGCUUUGCUUGAGGACUGGAGAGGAGAUUGGAAUUCACGGUGUAGCAGUGAAAUGCGUAGAUAUCGUGAGGAAGACCAGUGGCGAAGGCGGAUCUCUGGACAGUUCCUGACGCUGAGGCGCGAAGGCCAGGGGAGCAAACGGG